rnacentral:snRNA from 1 species
AUGCUUGCUUCAGCAGCACAUAUACUAAAACAAUACAGAGAAGAUUAGCAUGGCCCCUGCACAAAGAUGACAAGCAAAUUCAUGAAGUAGUCCAAAUUAUA